CUCCUUCCUCCCUCAAUCGUCUCAGCCGCACGAACCCUAGCCGCCGCCCGAUGGAGGGAGCGCACGGACGAACGAACCCUAGCCGGCUAGCCCCCAACCCGCAGCUGCCACAAUCCUCCCUCCUCACUUCCUCGUCGACACAGCCGCUCGCGCCCCUCCCCUCUCCCUCCUUCCCGCCACCCCAGGAGCUCCACCACCGCAUUUGACGAGAUCCACCGCCUCCCCGAGGUCCUUAUCCACCCCAGGUCGCGAGGAAGCCGCGGAAGGAGGAGAUCAGCUAGGCGUCACCAGCCGGAGAAGGAGGAGAGGCACGGAUGCUAGCCAAGGAGGCAGAUCAGCUUGCCUCUACUGCACCGUGAGCGUAGCCGCUGCCUCUGCACCUGAUGCGACCCCCCAUUGACAAGAGCAGGGUGGCGGAUUGGAUUGAGGGUGCCUGCAUGGCCACGCCACCGCUGCCGCCUGGAGUCACCUUGGGCGCCACCUGGAGUGACCUCCAUCGCCGCCCCGAGUCAACUCCACCACUGCCGCCAGGAAUCCCGUCUCCGGCAAGUUGACCUGCUGAUGUUGCUACUGUGCUGGCCAGGGAGUGAGUCAAGUGACAUACAGACACAAGAAAUAUUCAGUUAUGAGGAUUGAAGAAAUCUAUGAUCAUUCAAUCAUUGAGGAUUUGAGAAGAGGUAUCAAUGCUCCAGUAGAGGUGUUAUUGAAGUUGUGGCUGUCAAUAGUCCUUUUAUUGAUGCUAAGUACACGUAUGAAUCCUAUCAUGGCCCCUUUAAAGGAUUCAUUAAGAUCGUGGAUGAUUCAGCAUUGGAGAUUAAUGCGCAAGAUCACAACCACGGGCGAAAGGUAAAUAUGUCAGGGUUAGCUAAUUGUUUGCCAUAUUAGUGUGGUUGAUAUAUAUGUCAUGGUUUCUAAAUAUGCAUGGCAUGUUGGCCCAUAUAAGUGCUGUUGAGAGGGAGGAGGAGGGAGGAGUGCGUGGCUGUGGAUCGGGUCUAGGGUUGGUGCAGUUUUGUCCAAUGGGCUCCUCCCUUCAGCUUCAGGCAAGCCACAGGACGCGCGUCGCGUGAUGAAAGGUUCACCCAACCGAGAUGACCCGCUAUAGACCCAGCCAAUGCAAGCGUGAGAUGAGCCCACUUGUCAUUGGGCAGUAAAAUGACUGUGAGGUCAAAAUUGAAUUUGACUGCUGUAAAAAUCCAAUGGCUCAGGCGCACUAGAAGGCAGAUCGGACGGCCAACGUAUGUGUAUGACAUUAACUGAUUCAUUAUGAUUUUUAUGGGUAUAUGGACCACAAAUGAUGAUAUACUUGGUUAUUUGAACAUGAAAGGAGUGCGACUCAGCAGGAAGGUGUACCGUGGGGAGCCGCAACAUGGCAUGGCCUCACUAGCCAAUUAGGUCUCCUCUCUCUUUGCCUAUUGCUUCCUCUGGAACACUGAUUUUGUUUGACUUAUGAAGGCACAUUCAUCCUACAAGUACAAUCAUGAUUAAGAGUUAGAGCGUCCCCGCACAUCAAUUUGCUUUCUUACGUUGAUUAUUGUUUUUUAUGCAUUAUAUCAUUCACCUUCUCACAUAAUAGUUUGGUAAAAAAAGAGUGAACUCACUCCUGAGUUUGCACUAAUUAUAUAUUUAUGGCACCAUUAAUAAUUUGCAUUUGCAUUUUCUGAUGAAUUCAUCGAGUUCCUUUCUCAAUAUGCUUAGAUGCUUUUCUGUCAGAAAUUUUGUGUGGCAACAGAAGUAAUGGUUGAUUCGUUUAGCCUUUGUGUUGGUUUCAUAUGUAUAUAUUUCACUGGCCUAGCUAUCAACGUUGUAUGUUAGUAGUUCAUGCUUUUUUCUUUGGGAUAAUUAUGCCUAGCUAAAAACAGAGAGGAGUCAAGUACAUGCCUACUACUGCUCUUUUUGCUUCCUAAAGUGUUCCUUCAACUAAUCCAGUAACCUGACAUUACUUUGUGUUUAACUAAUAUCAUUCUUAUCACAGUGAGCAAAUAUUGUUCAGUUAGCCUCCUUAUCGUAGAAAUGGUAACUGAAUGCGUGUUCUCUUUUUAUCACCUCUGAAUUUAAGGAAUAUAUUUGCUAAUAUAUCAAUGCUCAUUCGUGCCAUGUCUGGUUCUUA